rnacentral:misc_RNA from 1 species
AAGUCUACCAGCCUAGAGACAGCACC